rnacentral:rRNA from 17 species
CUCUGGUGUACCGGUUGUCACGCCAGUGGCAUAGCCGGGUAGCUAAGUUUGGAUAAGAUAAGCGCUGAAAGCAUCUAAGCGUGAAGCUUGCCUGGAGAUAAGACUUCCCAAAGGACAUAAGUCCUUCUAAAGAGGCGUUAGAGACGAUGACGUUGAUAGGUCGGGUGUGAAAGUGCGGUAACGCAUGGAGCUAACCGAUACUAAUAUCUCGU